CGCACAUUGCGCCUCCUGGUAUUCCGGGAGGCACACCUGUUCGAGCGCCGUUUCAAACUAAGAAUUUAUUCUUGUGUUGAUGGAUCCCGAUUGGGACCGUCGAAACUCCAUGACACUGAAUUGGUUCAGCAAAGCAACACAAUGCAAUGCUCCCCAAAUUUAGGAGUCUAUCUCUCAGUUUGGCCUCGAAUCAGGUGGGGAUACCCGCUGAACUUAA
rnacentral:misc_RNA from 1 species